GGGAUUUGCUGAGAAUUUAGUGAAGUUGACGAUUAACCCAAAAUUUUAAACUCUUUACUUAAUCCACCACCUAUGGGUUUCUCAGUCAGUCGUUGUCUCAGCAAUUUCAACAGCUUAUUAUGCACUAGUUGACUACGGGGGGGAAAGAAAGUAGCUGAACAUUGCCAGGCACGCACAACUAUGAAUGUUUUGACACAAACAAUCAUCCAACCACCUCGCUCUUUGCCUCUUCAACCAUGACUUUGAUGCCAUUGAUGGUCCGAACACUAGCAAGGCUAGUAACAGCGCUUGUAACUCAGCCAGCAGCCUCUUUCACGACGAUGCUUUAUUACAGCCAUCUCCUUCCCCGAAAUCUCAACUUAGAACGAUUGGUUCGACCCCAGUUGCUCCAUCCUGAAAACUACUUGUUCCAUUUCCUCAUCAGCCUCUUGAGAUGUUUCUGGUAAUUGCCUGUACAUAUAUGCAGGUACCAUUGAGGUGGGUAAUGACUGUUUGUACGUUAGUGUAUGACUAGAAAUAGGACUUGAAAUUGCUGUCAUCAGUCAGUAUAUAUAGAUGAUUUGCAGAGUGUAUGACUAAUGAAAUAUUAGCACAUCUUUUUAUUCU